GAAAUGCGAUACUUGGUGUGAAUUGUAGAAUCUCGCGAACCAUCAAGUCUUUGAACGCAAGUUGUGCCCGAAGCCAUUUGGUUGAUGGCACGUCUGCCUGGGCGUCUCAUGUUGCGUCGCCCGCGCCCCUCCCCCCCCCACGAAGGUGGGAAGAAGGGCUGUAGGAGAAUGUUGGCCCCCCGCGCGCGUCGGCGUGCAGUCGACUCAAAAGCGAGUCCCCCGCGACGGAUGACGCGUCGCGAUGAGUGGUGGUUGACAAACCGUUGCGUCGCCUCGCGUGCGUCCGGACCGUCACGGGAGGCCUGUCGUGACCCUAUCGCGCCGCCGCCAAGGCGCUCCGAUCGCGACCACAGGUUAGGCAGGAUUACCUGCUAAGUUUAA
rnacentral:misc_RNA from 1 species